UACAGAGGAUGCAAGCGUUAUCCGGAAUGAUUGGGCGUAAAGCGUCUGUAGGUGGCUUUUUAAGUCCGCCGUCAAAUCCCAGGGCUCAACUCUGGACAGGCGGUGGAAACUACCAAGCUGGAGUACGGUAGGGGCAGAGGGAAUUUCCGGUGGAGCGGUGAAAUGCGUAGAUAUCGGAAGGAACGCCGGUGGCGAAAGCGACGUGCUGGACCUCUUCUGACGCUGAGGCGCGAAAGCCAGGGGAGCAAACGGG
rnacentral:rRNA from 1 species